AAGUCGUAACAAGGUUUCCGUAGGUGGAAGGAUCAUUAACACGUAUCCAACGUUAAACCCCCCGUGCACACAGCGACCUGCUCCCCUCAAUUUCGGUCUUUUGGCAAUCCCUGGUAAAUCAUCGCCGAACAGUUUUGAUUCAGGGACAUCCAAAGGGCCGGGGUAGGGUAUUAAAGUAGUCAAUGCUGGUUUCUUUGAAGCAGAAAGUGUGAUGGCGUGAGCCGGAGAACGGACCGAGUGGUAGUUCAAAGGUGCCUUCUGUCGCGCACUGUGGAAAGGAAGACGCUUUACGAAUCACUGUCCAACUCCUAGACCCCAUAUUCACCACCACAGUCGCAGACGAGGUAGGGAUACGUCCUUACCACCAAAUAAAUACUUGAACAACUGUUAACAAUGGAUAUCUUGGUUCUC
rnacentral:misc_RNA from 1 species